rnacentral:rRNA from 1 species
UACGUAGGGGGCAAGCGUUGUCCGGAAUUAUUGGGCGUAAAGAGCGUGUAGGCGGCCCGGCAAGUCUGCUGUGAAAGUCCAGGGCUCAACCCUGGAAUGCCGGUGGACACUGUCGAGCUCGAGUCCGGAAGAGGCGAGUGGAAUUCCUGGUGUAGCGGUGAAAUGCGCAGAUAUCAGGAGGAACACCAAUGGCGAAGGCAGCUCGCUGGGACGGUACUGACGCUGAGACGCGAAAGCGUGGGGAGCAAACAGG